rnacentral:rRNA from 1 species
UACAGGGGGGGCAAGCGUUGUUCGGAAUUACUGGGCGUAAAGGGCUUGUAGGUGGCCAACUAAGUCACACGUGAAAUCCCCAGGCUUAACCUGGGAACUGCGUGUGAUACUGGAUGGCUUGAAUCCGGGAGAGGGAUGCGGAAUUCCAGGUGUAGCGGUGAAAUGCGUAGAUAUCUGGAGGAACACCGAUGGCGAAGGCGGCAUCCUGGACCGGUAUUGACACUGAAAAGCGAAAGCCAGGGGAGCAAACGGG